UUGUGUAGCAUUACUCUGUAUGGUGGUGAUGUCUUUUUUGAUUUCCUAGUAACAAAAACAAAAAAAUAUGUUAUCAAAGGUUUUUUUUUUUUUUUUUUUUGGAUCAAGUAGCCUGGUGGCUAGAGCUCACACAAUUUAAUUGUGGAGAAGUGGAGUGUUCGGAGUUCGAACCCCGGCUCCUGCAUAUAAUAUGCAAUAUCCCUACCAGCUGAGUUAAGCUCACGGGAAUUGUUAUCAAAGGUUUUGAACUAUGUAGCAUGGAUACAGACACAUACAUCAUAUAUGUCAAUGGCUUGCAAAAUAGAAAUGAUGCAUAUAAUCACAAGUGUUAAUAUCAUGUCAGGCAUUGGAACACGCCUUCAAUCUAAAGUACUAAGAAAAUCGCUAUUAGACGACCAAUUUAGCGAUCAUAUUUUUUUUAUCGGUUUGUAAAUGAUUUUUGACUAAUAUAGAGACUGAUUUACGAAAUGUUUUUAAACCGCUGAUUUCUAAAUUUUUUUUUUUUUUUAAGAAAUUAAAUUAGCCUACCCAAAUUGACAUCGGAAAGAAUCG
rnacentral:lncRNA from 1 species